GGAGGACCGAACCCACUAACGUUGAAAAGUUAGGGGAUGACCUGUGGGGAGGAGUAAAAGUCUAAUCAUACUCGGAGAUAUCUCGUUCUCCUCGAAAUAGCUUUAGGGCUAGCCUCACGUUAUACCCUUUGGGGGUAGAGCUACUGGAUGGGGCUGGGGGGCCACAAGCCUACCCACCUCAACCAAACUCCGAAUACCAAAGGGCUCUAUCGUGGGAGUCAGUCUGCGGGAGAUAAUUUCCGCGGUCAAAAGGGAAACAGCCCAGACCGCCAAAUAAGGCCCCUAAACGAUUCUAAGUUACUAAGGUAGUUGGAUUGCCGUGACAGCCAGGAUGUUGGCUUAGAAGCAGCCACCAUUUAAAGAGUGCGUAACAGCUCACUGGUCGAGGAUCCUAGCGCCGAUAAUGAUCGGGAAUAAGACAUACACCGAAGCUGCGGACUUGUGCUUGCACAAGUGGUAGAGGAGCGUUCCUGUCAGCGUUGAAGCGAAACGGAUAACGUUUCGUGGAGCGGCAGGAAGUGAUUAUGCCGGCUUGAGUAACGAUAAAGCAGGUGAAAAUCCUGCUCGCCGAAAGCCUAAGGUUUCCUGGGGAAGGGAAAUCCGCCCAGGGUUAGUCGGAACCUAAGUCGAGGCCGAAAGGCGUAGACGAUGGACAGCAGGUUAAUAUUCCUGCACUAUGCGUGGCGGUUGAAGCACCGUGACGGAUUUCUUAACUUGACACCAUUAUUAGAAUGUGGAACGGGCGACUUCGUCCAGUCAGGAGCAGAAGUCCCAAGAAAAGCCGUGUGUGGACAAAACGCAUAUCCGUACUAAAACUGACACAGGUAGGUGAGGAGAGUAUCCUCAGGCGCUCGAGAGAACCGUUGUUAAGGAACUAGGCAAAUUGACCCCGUAACUUUGGGAUAAGGGGUCCCUACCAGAUGACUCGUUUAUUCGGAUCAUCUGGAGGGCGCAGAGAAUCGGCUCUGGCGACUGUUUAUCAAAAACACAGGACUCUGCUAACUCGCAAGAGGAUGUAUAGAGUCUGACACCUGCCCGGUGCCGGAAGGUCAAGGACGUAGGUUAUCCUUCGGGAGAAGCUUACAACUCAAGCCCCGGUAAACGGCGGCCGUAACUAUGACGGUCCUAUGGUAGCGAAGUUCCUUGUCGGGUAAGUUCCGACGUGCAUGAAUGGCGUAACGACUGGAGCACUGUCUCAACAACGGACUCGGUGAAAUUACAGACGCGGUGAAGAUGCCGCGUACCCGCGGAAAGACGGAAAGACCCCGUGAACCUUUACUGUAGCCUGGUAUUGGUGUUUUGUAUCACAUGCGUAGGAUAGGUGGGAGGCGUUGAUCUCCUGGUUUUGGCCAGGAAGGAGCCAUCCUUGAAAUACCACCCUUGUGCUAUAAGCCACCUAACCCCGACCCAUGAAUCUGGGCGGGGGACCGUGCUUGGUGGGCAGUUUGACUGGGGCGGUCUCCUCCUAAAGAGUAACGGAGGAGCCCAAAGGCAUCCUCAGUACGGUUGGCAAUCGUAUUUAGAGUGUAAAGGCAUAAGGAUGCUUAACUGCGAGACCUAUAAGUCGAGCAGAUGUGAAAGCAGGGCUUAGUGACCCGGUGGUCCCGUGUGGAAGGGCCAUCGCUUAACAGAUAAAAGGUACUCCGGGGAUAACAGGCUGAUC
rnacentral:rRNA from 1 species